UCUCGCGUCAGGAUAUGCCUAGGUGGGAUUAGCUAGUUGGUGAGGUAAGGGCUCACCAAGGCGACGAUCCCUAGCUGGUCUGAGAGGAUGAUCAGCCACACUGGAACUGAGACACGGUCCAGACUCCUACGGGAGGCAGCAGUGGGGAAUAUUGCACAAUGGGCGCAAGCCUGAUGCAGCCAUGCCGCGUGUGUGAAGAAGGCCUUCGGGUUGUAAAGCACUUUCAGUCGUGAGGAAGGUAGUNUAGUUAAUAGCUGCAUUAUUUGACGUUAGCGACAGAAGAAGCACCGGCUAACUCCGUGCCAGCAGCCGCGGUAAUACGGAGGGUGCGAGCGUUAAUCGGAAUUACUGGGCGUAAAGCGCAUGCAGGUGGUUUGUUAAGUCAGAUGUGAAAGCCCGGGGCUCAACCUCGGAAUAGCAUUUGAAACUGGCAGACUAGAGUACUGUAGAGGGGGGUAGAAUUUCA
rnacentral:rRNA from 1 species